AGCCCUAUGGCACAGCAGGGUGGGGGUCAGUCCCAGGCUGGCUAGUACCCGCCCCCCCCCCCCGCCCCCACUUAUGAAGUCUUUAGGGGAGGAAAUGCUUCUCUGGUGGUGUUUCUUUCUGCCUCAUUGAUCAACAGAAUGAUCCCACCAAACAAUUUGCAGGUGUCCCUGUCUACCCAGAGGAAAACCAAGGUCACUUGCUGUGCCAUCUGGGGUGGGGUGAGGGGUAUGGGGCAGUGUUCUGAGAUACCCAUCCUGAGCUCCCAAACUAGUCACCUCAUGUCCUCCACCAUCACCUCCUGGCUGGAUUAGGACGGGUAUGCUUUCCCCUGUGCCCACAGGGGUCUAGAACAAGCCUACCCCACUCCCACUUUCUCCACUCUCAGCAGCUCCCACUCCUCUGCCUUGGACCCCAUGCGCUUCGGUGCCUUGGGAAGAAAGGCUCUCCUCCCCUCCUCUGUGGUCAGCACCACCUGCCAUCUGCAGAACAACCAACGCCCACCCUGUGCUCUCCUGUAACACCUCUUCCCCUUCUGCCACCAACAGGUGUAACUCUCCCUCGUCUGCCCUGACUCUAUCCUCAUCUGUUCUUACCACCAAAAUUCCUGAAAAAAAGGACCCUAUAUUUGCUGAUGCGAUGUGUCCAAUGUGUUCAUUCUUCUCAUUAAAACUGGGAUUCAACUUC